GAUGAAGAACGUAGCGAAAUGCGAUAAGUAAUGUGAAUUGCAGAAUUCAGUGAAUCAUCGAAUCUUUGAACGCACAUUGCGCCCGCCAGUAUUCUGGCGGGCAUGCCUGUCCGAGCGUCAUUUCAACCAUCAAGCCCCGGGCUUGUGUUGGGGACCUGCGUCCGACGCAGGCCCUGAAAACCAGUGGCGGGCUCGCUGUCCACACCGAGCGUAGUAACUAACCUCGCUAUGGAGUGGCGCGGGCGCCUGCCGUAAAACCCCCAAUUUCACAAGGUUGACCUCGGAUCAGGUAGGAAUACCCGCUGAACUUUAGCAUAUCAAUAAGCGGAGGA
rnacentral:misc_RNA from 1 species